rnacentral:misc_RNA from 1 species
GAUGAAGAACGCAGUGAAAUGCGAUACUUGGUGUGAAUUGCAGAAUCCCGUGAACCAUCGAGUCUUUGAACGCAAGUUGCGCCCGAAGCCAUUAGGCCGAGGGCACGCCUGCCUGGGCGUCACACGUCGUUGCCCCCCCAUCUACUCCUUCGGGAUUGCGGGGGGCGGAUGAUGGCCUCCCGUGCGCCUCGUCGCGCGGUUGGCAUAAAUACCAAGUCCUCGGCGACGCACGCCACGACAAUCGGUGGUUGCGAAACCUCGGUUGCCCGUCGUGUGCGGUCGUCGCGCAUCGAGGGCUCGAAAAAAUUGCCGGGCUCCGGCUCGGCUUUCAACGCGACCCCAGGUCAGGCGGGGUUACCCGCUGAAUUUAAGCAUAUCAAUAAGCGGAGGA